rnacentral:rRNA from 1 species
CCUACGGGAGGCAGCAGUGGGGAAUUUUGGACAAUGGGGGCAACCCUGAUCCAGCCAUUCCGCGUGAGUGAAGAAGGCCUUCGGGUUGUAAAGCUCUUUUGUCCGGAACGAAACGGUUACGGUGAAUACCCGUGACUACUGACGGUACCGGAAGAAUAAGCACCGGCUAACUACGUGCCAGCAGCCGCGGUAAUACGUAGGGUGCGAGCGUUAAUCGGAAUUACUGGGCGUAAAGCGUGCGCAGGCGGUUUUGUAAGCCAGAUGUGAAAUCCCCGGGCUUAACCUGGGAAUGGCAUUUGGGACUGCAAGGCUGGAGUUUGGCAGAGGAGACUGGAAUUCCUGGUGUAGCAGUGAAAUGCGUAGAUAUCAGGAAGAAUACCGAUGGCGAAGGCAGGUCUCUGGGCUAUAACUGACGCUCAUGCACGAAAGCGUGGGGAGCAAACAGGAUUAGAUACCCUGGUAGUCCACGCCCUAAACGAUGUCGACUGGUUGUUGGGGGUUUGACACUCUCAGUAACGAAGCUAACGCGUGAAGUCGACCGCCUGGGGAGUACGGCCGCAAGGUUAAAACUCAAAGGAAUUGACGG